AAAACAAGACUGAUCAGCCGAUAACAUACCCCCCGGUACCCAAAAAUCAGUAAUACAAAGUGUCGGGGAUCACGCAAGCACACCCUUAUGUUAAAUAUGAAUGAAAUUGGUCAAUUGGUUCUUAAGAUAUUGCGCUAAAAUAGGGUGUCAAUGACAGUAUCUUAAAUAUCUUGCUGUGACCUUGAAAUUUACCCCAAGUUCACUGUAUUCAACUGGUGUUGGGGGAAUCACCCAAGCACACACUUAUGCUAAAUAUGAAUCAAAUUGGUCAACUUGUUCUUGAGAUAUCGCACUAAAAUAGGGUGUCAAUG